CCUACGGGGGGCAGCAGUGGGGAAUAUUGGGCAAUGGGCGCAAGCCUGACCCAGCAACGCCGCGUGAAGGAAGAAGGCUUUCGGGUUGUAAACUUCUUUUGUCAGGGACGAAGCAAGUGACGGUACCUGACGAAUAAGCCACGGCUAACUACGGGCCAGCAGCCGCGGUAAUACGUAGGUGGCAAGCGCUAUCCGGAUUUAUUGGGUGUAAAGGGCGUGGAGGCGGGAAUGCAAGUCAGAAGUGAAAACUAUGGGCUCAACCCAUAGCCUGCAUUUGAAACUGUAUUUCUUGAGUGCUAGAGGGGAGAUCGGAAUUCCGGGUGUAGCGGUGAAAUGCGUAGAUAUACGGAGGAACACCAGUGGCGAAGGCGGAUUGCUGGACGGUAACUGACGCUGAGGCGCGAAAGCGUGGGGAGCAAACAGGAUUAGAUACCCGUGUAGUC
rnacentral:rRNA from 1 species